UACGAGGGGUGCAAGCGUUGCUCGGAAUUAUUGGGCGUAAAGAGCUCGUAGGCGGUGUGUCGCGUCGGCCGUGAAAACUUGGGGCUUAACUCUGAGCGUGCGGUCGAUACGGGCAUCACUUGAGUUCGGCAGGGGAGACUGGAAUUCCUGGUGUAGCGGUGAAAUGCGCAGAUAUCAGGAGGAACACCGGUGGCGAAGGCGGUGGUCUGGGCCGGCACUGACGCUGAGGAGCGAAAGCGUGGGUAGCAAACAGG
rnacentral:rRNA from 1 species